GUUCUUCGUUCUUCGUUCUUAUUUGCCGUCCUCUUCACAUACGAAACAGAAACGUCUCACAACCCCUUCAAUCCGCCAUUAAUUCUGGGUUUUUCCCUUGAGUAAUCAACCUCUUUCAUUAAGAUUUUGCUAUCUGCUUCUUCGAUUCCACUGAAACCGCCUGAAUCUCCAACUAUAAAUAUCAAACCUUCUAGCAUGCGCAGUCGACCUCACACUGUAUUUGAAUCAUUCUUCUCGGCGUCUCUUUCUCUCUCGCAAAUCAAAAACCUCAACUGUCAAGUCCUCUUUUUCGAUUCCCAUAAACAUUCUUCACGUUUCCUCAAGAGAAAUUCUCUGCUAUUUCGAGUUCUGUUACAUGUUUAGAUAUAUAACUUUAUUAUAUCCUUUUAAAUACAUUUUAUUCAACUCCACGUUCUGACGUCCGUUUGCUUCACAUCUGUCUUUGUUAUGGCUUCUAUCUUCUAGCAAAUGCCUCACAAAUCUAUGAGGAACUUUCCUGGGAUUACUUUACAAGGUUGUGGUCUCUGUAUUAUAAACGCAUCUAAUCAUAUACCUCAGAAACGUUGAGAAGCUUUUGAGUCAGAAAGAUUCUACAAGUUGUUCCCAAUUCUAUUUAACAAGAUCUCUGGUCCUGUCUUGAUUCUUGUCUGAAGGGUAAAAGUACCUGAAGAUGAUUUCCAAGAAGUAGGUGAUGGCGCUCUCUUUCCUUACAACUUCGAGAUCAGACCACAUUAGGAUAAAUCUCAGCUCUUGACCUGGAAGAAUCGCUAAGAAGAUGACAUGAAGAUGGUUCAGUUUAAAAACAACAAGAACGCAAAGUAUCCCUCAUGAGCCUCAACAUCAUUGCUGCUUACAGGGAUGUAAGCGUGUGUGUUACGCCUUAGCUCUUGAAUGCCAUAAUAAAUACGAAGCUAUAGGUCUGAGCCAAAAAUUGUGAUAGCCACCAGCAUAAAUCUGACACUAUUCAUCGCAUCAAGUAAUGUGUUGAGGGGAAAGAAGGCAUCCCUCCCCUUAAACAAAGGCCCAUCUACGCCGGAAAACAACUCGCUGAUGACAAGACAGCAAAAGCCUACAACAUUGAGGAAGCUCUGUUCUGCAUCUUCUCCUCUGAGUAGUAACUCUUAUUUCUGGGUUUAGUGUAUACUGAGGCAUUCAGCGAAGCCCCACUUUUGGCUCUACUUAUGUUCGAAUAAAGCAAACGAAUAUUACGUUUGACCAAAAAAAAAAAGCAAACGAAUAUUACAAUGUACAUUAAACUGUAAAGCAUAUGGCUGUUUCUGCAAACCCAGCUCAGAGGUUGUUCUUUUUCUC